rnacentral:rRNA from 1 species
GAUGAACGCUGGCGGCGUGCCUAAUACAUGCAAGUCGAACGGAAAGGCCUCUUCGGAGGUACUCGAGUGGCGGACGGCUGAGUAACGCGUAGGAAUGUACCCCAAAGUGAGGAAUAACUGCCCGAAAGGGUAGCUAAUACCGCAUGUGCUCUAAGGAGUAAAGCUUCGGCGCUUUGGGAACAGCCUGCGUAAGAUUAGCUUGUUGGUGAGGUAAUGGCUCACCAAGGCGACGGUCUUUAGCUGGUCUGAGAGGAUGAUCAGCCAGACUGGGACUGAGACACGGCCCAGACUCCUACGGGAGGCAGCAGUAGGGAAUUUUCCACAAUGGACGAAAGUCUGAUGGAGCAACGCCGCGUGCAGGAUGAAGGCCCUUGGGUUGUAAACUGCUUUUAUAUGUGAAGAAAAUGACGGUAGCAUAUGAAUAAGGAUCGGCUAACUCCGUGCCAGCCGCCGCGGUAA